AGAGAUUGAACGUGACUAAUACAUGCAGUCGAACGAACGGAGGAAGAGCUUGCUCUUCCAAAGUUAGUGGCGGACGGGUGAGUAACACGUGGGCAACCUGCCUGUAAGUUGGGGAUAACUCCGGGAAACCGGGGCUAAUACCGAAUGAUAGAGUGUGGCGCAUGCCACGCUCUUGAAAGAUGGUUUCGGCUAUCGCUUACAGAUGGGCCCGCGGUGCAUUAGCUAGUUGGUAGGGUAAUGGCCUACCAAGGCAACGAUGCAUAGCCGACCUGAGAGGGUGAUCGGCCACACUGGGACUGAGACACGGCCCAGACUCCUACGGGAGGCAGCAGUAGGGAAUCUUCCGCAAUGGACGAAAGUCUGACGGAGCAACGCCGCGUGUAUGAAGAAGGUUUUCGGAUCGUAAAGUACUGUUGUUAGAGAAGAACAAGGAUAAGAGUAACUGCUUGUCCCUUGACGGUAUCUAACCAGAAAGCCACGGCUAACUACGUGCCAGCAGCCGCGGUAAUACGUAGGUGGCAAGCGUUGUCCGGAUUUAUUGGGCGUAAAGCGCGCGCAGGCGGUCUUUUAAGUCUGAUGUGAAAGCCCCCGGCUUAACCGGGGAGGGUCAUUGGAAACUGGAAGACUGGAGUGCAGAAGAGGAGAGUGGAAUUCCACGUGUAGCGGUGAAAUGCGUAGAUAUGUGGAGGAACACCAGUGGCGAAGGCGACUCUCUGGUCUGUAACUGACGCUGAGGCGCGAAAGCGUGGGGAGCAAACAGAUUAGAUACCCUGGUAGUCCACGCCGUAAACGAUGAGUGCUAAGUGUUAGGGGUUUCCGCCCCUUAGUGCUGCAGCUACGCAUUAGCACUCCGCCUGGGGAGUACGACGCAGUGCCAUUGUAAUUGUUGCAGUGUCGCGCACGUAU
rnacentral:rRNA from 1 species